AUUGAAAAACAGGUUCUCUUACGAUCACUGGAGUUAAGCAACAUCGAGCCUGACCAGUACUUAGAUGGGUGACCGCGUGGAAAUACCAAAUGCCGUAAU